CUUUUUUUUUCUUUUUCUUUUUGUCUUUUCUAGGGCUGUACCCACAGCAUAUGGAGAUUCCCAGGCUAGGGGUCUAAUCAGAGACAUAGCCGCCAGCCUACGCCACAGCCACAGCAACGCAGGAUCCGAGCCAUGUCUAUGGCCCACACCACAGCUCAUGACAACACCAGAUCCUUAACCCACUGAGCAACACCAGGGAUCGAACCCACAAUAUAAAUGUUAAUAUAUUUAUAGCAAUUUAAAAAUCUUUGCUAAUUUUAACAUCUGAUUUAUCUAUGGAUCUUCUUUUAUUCAUUACUCUUUUCUUGUGAUUAUAGAUCACAUAGCCCUGCUUCUUUGCAUGGCUCAUAAAUUUUUAUUUUAUACUUCACAUUGUAGAUGAUAAAUUAUAGAUUCUAGAUUCUGUUAUCUUCUGAAUACUGUUAAGUUCUAUUUAUUGUUACAGAGUUAAGUUCCUGGGGAAUAAGCUUGAUCUUGUGGAGCCUUGGUUUUAAGCUGCAUGUCUCUUUCAUUUUUCUUUAUUCUUUAUUUUUUAUUUUUGUUUUUGUCUUUUUGCCUUUUCUAGGGCCACUCCCAUGGCAUAUGGGGUUUCCCAGGCUAGGGGUCUAAUCAGAGCUGUAGCUGCCGACCGACGCCAGAGCUCACGGCAACACCGGAUCCUUAACACACUUGAGCAAGGCCAGGGAUUGAACCUGCAACUUCGUGGUUCCUAGUUGGAUUUGCUAACCACUGAGCCAUGAUGGGAACUCCCAUUUUUCUUUAUUCUUAGGGCAUAGUCUUUAGUCCUAAAAUACAGUCUUUAUUCUUUUUUUUUUUUUAGAUGUCUUUUUGGGGUCGCACCUAUGGCAUAUGGAAGUUCCCAGUCUAGGGGUCAAGUUGGAGCUGCAGCCGUCAGCCCGCACCACAGCCACAGCAACACGGGAUCCUAAACUCACCGAGCGAGGUCAGCAUCCUCAUGGAUACUUGUUGGGUUCAUAACCUGCUGAGCCAUGUUAGGAACUCCCAUUACCCAAUGAAUAUUUUUUGAACCCUAGACUGUUGAAAAAUCUAUGAAGGAUGCCACACACUCUCUUACAAGUGAAGAUUUGGCUACGAUUUGUCCGAAUUGGGAAUUGGCUUCAUGCCAUCUGAUGUUCCUCCCAACUCUCAGAAUCUACAAUUUUAUGAAUUAAGUAUGGACUCCACUCUUAAUUGCUGUGAAAGUGUCUCCAUUAUGUAACACUAAAGUACACGGAGAGGUUGGUAUAAUAGGUGCUAUUUUUUAAAAUUUUGUUUUGUUUUUUUCACCCGGAGUUCAUUUUUACCACUUCUGAUAAGUACCUAGAAUUUCAUAUGGGAAACUGUCUCCUCCCCACCUUUUUAGUCUGUAAGAUUCAAGUGGGGUUCCACUCGUUCAGAGGAACAUGUGACUCUGAUUAAGCUAGAGUACCACUAAAUCUCACUAGUCAUGGGUGAUUGAUUUAAGGGUUACCAGGCAAGUCAAACCUAGAAAUGAGUGUUAUUAUAUCUCUUGGCCACAGAAACUGUUUCAUUACAUCAAGAUGAAGAUACUGGUCCAAAGAGCAUGAAUCAUGGCAUGUGAGCAGAAGCUAUUGGAAAAUAAAUUCCUGCCUGUCUUUCAGACUUGAAAGCAUAAAGAUAUUGAUGUAGGACUCUUGGCAUUAUGUUGAUACCACAAGCAACUGAAAUUUAAACAGGGCAGAAGAGAGCAGAGUCAAACCAUUUGAGGGUUUGGAUAUUGCUGUGCUUGACACUCUGUACCUAUACUUUUCAGGUCUGUGAAUUAGAUAAAUUCUCUUUUUAAACUAGUUUGGGUUGGGGUCUCUUUCCCUUAGAAAUAGCCCUGGCUGCCACAUCAGUCAAGGGCCUAAUGGGGUGUGCCAAUUAUGGCACCCAGAGAUGAAAAGUAGGCCUGGUCACUUCAACUUGGUUUUGGUUGAACACCUUUAAACAAGCUUUGUCAUUCACCAGAUUCACCGCAGACAGCCUUUCUAUGCCUCCUGCAGUCAUUCUCCUGUAACUUUCCAGAAUACAUGGAGGUAGGCACUAGAUCAUGUGUUUGUGGGCUAUUCAAUCUUAACCUAUCCUGCAAUCACAUUGCAAGUCCGCCUUCCCAAGUGGGUGGAAAUUCUUUGGGGAUAUUAGCUUUCUGUGUGUUCCUUCCCUGAGCUGGGCUUCAGUGAUAAUAUAACGUCUUCCCCUGUCUCCUGGCUGAGAGGGAAUCUUUGAGCAAUUGUGGGAACAGUUACACAGUCUAAUUUCUAACUAUUCCCGGUACAACUGAAUGUUAAAGAUGCUUACCUGAUCAGAAAAUCUCACAUGUUGUCUUAGGAAAGGUGCCUGCUUCUCUUUUCAAGUUUCAGCUAAGAUUAAUCAGCAGUGUCUCUCAGAUAUUUUAAAAAUGGAAUCCUAACAUUUCACCUAUUUGAUCUGCCAAACAUAUUUAACCUCUUCUAAUUGUUACAGUGUUUUGUGCAAAUUUUAACCAGAGAAGGGGAUUGCAAAACAGGAUCUGUCUCUCUCUCUCUCAUUUCCCCCCCUGUGUUUGCCACGGUGGACCUUUCUCCAGGGCACCUACAAAAUCAGGAAAACUUAGGAAUGUGAGGAUAAUUUUUGACAAGCAGCAAAUGAUGACUUUGGAUUAGAUAAACAUCUCCCUUUUCUUUGAUAAAGGUUGGUUUCUCUACAGCAGCAGGAGCCCGGGAUGGCUAUCAUCUCCCGUCAUAAUUUAUUUGGGGCGAGAUUGGUUUGUCCAUCACUUGUCACUCUGUGUCCCUAAGAGUUCCCUCAGCAGUGCCAUGGACCUGGUGUCUCCUGGAUGUGUAUCUCUUCUGACUUGUUCAGUUAAUUUCACAAAUGUGUUUUUUUUUGUAGUAUUUUUCCCAGGUACAUUUACCAAGUGUUUUACGUCUGUCUACCAGGAAGUACCAGCUGUGUUUGAGGAAGGGAAGUGAAUGAAUCACUUCCUUCAUCUCCCUUUGGGAAGAGAAGGAUACUUCAUUAUUGUGUACUCAGAGCAGGUCUAGGCACAGGACAAAAUGGUAGUCACCAGUUCAUAGAAAGAUUUUAUUCUUUCUUUGCUAAAAUGGAAGAACACUGAGGACAGGGCCUGUGGCAGACAUGUCUUGUGUCCACCGAUGUGUGACAAUCUUUUCCUUCAUGGGCUCAUAAAAGAUGACACUCCACAAUCCUUUGCUUUUAUUCUGGGCUGUGUGAAUGAUCUUGGCUAGUGGGCUGUGAGAGGAAGCGACUUGGGUCCUGCCUGGGCUGAGGCAGGUUAAAGCCACCAGUUUCUCCCCUCCUGUCAAGGAAACAAGAAGAGGUUCCAUGUGAGAUACAAUAUUGAAAGAGAGCAUCCCAGUCCUGCAGUGCACUUAAAGCAAGAAAUAAGCAUUAGUUGACUAGUUUUGUUAAGCCAUUAAGAUUUAGGGGUUGGGAGUUCCUGUCAUGGCUCAGUGGUUAAUGAACCUGAGUAGCAUCCAGGAGGAUGCAGGUUUAAUCCCUGGCCUCGCUCAGUGGAUUAAGGAUCCGGUGUUGCCUUGAGCUGUGGUGUAGGUUGCAGACAUGGCUUGGAUCUCACAUUGCUGUGGCUGUGGUAUAGGCCAGUGGCUGCAGCUCUGAAUUGACCCCUGGCCUGGGAACCUCCAUAUGCCCUGGGUGCAGUCCUAAAAAGACAAAAGACAAAAGACAAAAAAAAAAAAAAAGGUUUAGGUGUCGUAUGUCACCAAAACAUAGCCUAUCUUGUCCUGCAUAAUGUAGAAAUUAUGGACUUUAAAAAAUGGACACAUAAUUUACAGUGAAAUAUUCUGUGAGUGCACUGUUGGAACUGCCUUGACAAAUGCCUGUACUCAUGUACCCACAUAUUUCUAAGGCAGAACAUCAAUCUCACCCCAGUCAGUUCUCUUGUGCCCCUUACCAGGCAGUUCCCUCCCUCCAGAAAGGUCACCCAUCUGAGGUCUUUUACUAGAGUUUUGCCAAUUCUAGAAGUUCAAAGAAAUAGAACAUAUAGUAUGUAUAUUUGUGUGUGUGUCUGACUUCCUUAAUUUAGUAUAGUGUUUUUUGAGAUGGAUCCAUGCUGACAGCAGGCAUUAGUAGUUUUCCCUUCUUGCUGAGUAAUGAUCCAUUUUGUGAAUUUGCUAUAGUUUAUCCAUUGUCCUUAUGAUGGACUUUUCCUAGUUUGGGGUUAUGGUGAAUGAAGUUUCCAUAAACACCUGUUUGCAAGGCUUUUUGUGGACAUAAUUUUUCUUUACUUGUUAUUGAAUUACAACUGACCUACAAUAUUAUAUGAGUUUCAGGUGCACAGUAUAGUGAUUCAAUAUUUGUACACAUUAUGAAAUGAUCACCAUGAUAAUUCUAGUUGCCAUCUGUCACCGUACAACAUAAUUAAAAUAUUAUUGACUAUAAUAUCUAUGCUGAGCAUUAUAUCCCUGUGACUUAUUUAUCUUACAAUUGGGAGUUUGUACCCCUUUCCCUAUGUUGUCUGUCCUCCCACCCCGCUUCCCUCUGGCAACCACCAGUUUGUUCUCUGUAUCUAUGGGUCUGUGUCUGUUUUGGUGUGUUGGUUUAUUUGUCUUAUUUUUUAGAUUCCACAAAAAAAGUGAAAUCAUAUGGUAUUUGUCUUUUUCUGUCGGACUUAUUUCACUCAGCAUUAUACCCAUUAGUUCCCAUCUGUGUUGUUGCAAAUGUCAAGAUUUCAUCAUUUUUUAUGGUUAUUCUAUUUUACACAUAUACCGCAUCUUCUUUAUCCACUCUUCUAUUGAUGGACACAUAUAUUGCUUCCAUAUCUUGGUUGUUAUAAAUAAUGCUACAACAGACACAGGGGUGCACAGACUUUUACAAGUUAGUGUUUUCUUUUUCUUCCCAUAAAUACCCAGAAGUGGGAUUGCUCGAUCACAUGGUAGUUUUAUUUUUAAUUUUUGGAAGGAACCUCCAUGCUAUUUUCCAUAGUGGCUGCACUAAUUUACAUUCCCACCAACAGUGAUGUGGGUUCCCUUUUC
rnacentral:lncRNA from 1 species